rnacentral:rRNA from 1 species
AGUGAACGCUGGCGGUAGGCCUAACACAUGCAAGUCGAACGGCAGCACAGUAAGAGCUUGCUCUUACGGGUGGCGAGUGGCGGACGGGUGAGGAAUACAUCGGAAUCUACUUUUUCGUGGGGGAUAACGUAGGGAAACUUACGCUAAUACCGCAUACGACCUACGGGUGAAAGCAGGGGAUCUUCGGACCUUGCGCGAUUGAAUGAGCCGAUGUCGGAUUAGCUAGUUGGCGGGGUAAAGGCCCACCAAGGCGACGAUCCGUAGCUGGUCUGAGAGGAUGAUCAGCCACACUGGAACUGAGACACGGUCCAGACUCCUACGGGAGGCAGCAGUGGGGAAUAUUGGACAAUGGGCGCAAGCCUGAUCCAGCCAUACCGCGUGGGUGAAGAAGGCCUUCGGGUUGUAGAGCCCUUUUGUUUGGAAAGAAAAGCAGCAGGUUAAUACCCCGCUGUUCUGACGGUACCAAAAGAAUAAGCACCGGCUAACUUCGUG